UGGGGAAUAUUGGACAAUGGGGGCAACCCUGAUCCAGCCAUGCCGCGUGAGUGAUGAAGGCCUUCGGGUUGUAAAGCUCUUUUGGCGGGGACGAUGAUGACGGUACCCGCAGAAUAAGCCCCGGCUAACUUCGUGCCAGCAGCCGCGGUAAGACGAAGGGGGCUAGCGUUGUUCGGAAUUACUGGGCGUAAAGCGAGUGUAGGCGGUUGCCGUAGUCAGGUGUGAAAGCCUUGAGCUCAACUCAAGAAAUGCACUUGAUACUGGGUGACUAGAGGACCGGAGAGGAUAGUGGAAUUCCCAGUGUAGUGGUGAAAUACGUAGAGAUUGGGAAGAACACCAGUGGCGAAGGCGGCUAUCUGGACGGUUACUGACGCUAAGACUCGAAAGCGUGGGGAGCAAACAGGAUUAGAUACCCUGGUAGUCCACGCCGUAAACGAUGGGUGCUAGACGUUGGCGAGCUUGCUCGUCAGUGUCGCAGCUAACGCGUUAAGCACCCCGCCUGGGGAGUACGGCCGCAAGGGUUGAAAACUCAAAAUGAAUUGACGGGGGUCAUAGCUGUUUUCCU
rnacentral:rRNA from 1 species